UUAUGUUUUGUAUUUAUAAUUGUCAACAAUUACAUUCAGAUACUUUUGAAAGAGGAAAAUUACGGAUGACUGAAAAUAUAUCUGACGUAAAUACUGAAAAUGAAGAAAAUAUGAAAUAAACACGGCAUGACAGAGCUGCUGCAAAAAAUUUUACGUCUGACGAUGAAUCUUUCGGUACAGAAGUAGAUUCUGACUUACUACUUCCUUUUUCAGAUUCGAAGGAAUUUUCUGCAUCACAAAAAUUGAUUAAUUUAGAAAAGCUUGCACGGAUAUAUAACAUUUAAAAAUAAAUAAACCAAAAAAUCAAACUGAUCAAGAUCUUCAAGAUUCUCAAAAAUAAUACAAUAUGAUGAAGAUAUUAAUAAUUAAAAAAUCUGCAUACAUCAUCAUGAAUAUCACAAAA